UGCCCCAAAGUGAGGAAUAAGCCACCGAAAGGUGGUCUAAUACUUCAUAAUAUCCAUCUCGUAUGGAUUAAAGCUUUAUGCGCUUUGGGAGGGGCCUGCGUAACAUUAGCUUGUUGGUGAGGUUAAAAGCUUCACCAAGGCUUCGAUGUUUAACUGGUUUGAGAGGAUGACCAGUCACACUGGGACUGAGAUACGGCCCAGACUCCUACGGGAGGCAGCAGUAAGGAAUCUUCCACAAUGGGGCAACCCUGAUGGAGCAAUACCGCGUGCAGGAUGAAGCGUUUCGGCGUGUAAACUGCUUUUAUCACCGAAGAUUAUGACUGUAGGUGAAGAAUAAGGACCGGCUAACUACGUG
rnacentral:rRNA from 1 species